rnacentral:rRNA from 1 species
AGAGGGUGCGAGCGUUAAUCGGAAUUACUGGGCGUAAAGCGUGCGUAGACGGUUAUUUAAGUCGGGUGUGAAAGCCCCGGGCUCAACCUGGGAAUUGCAUUCGAGACUGAAUAGCUAGGGUACGGUAGAGGGAAGUGAAAUUUCCGGUGUAGCGGUGAAAUGCGUAGAUAUCGGAAGGAACAUCAGUGGCGAAAGCGACUUCCUGGACCAGUACCGACGUUCAGGCACGAAAGCGUGGGGAGCAAACAGGAUUAGAUACCCUGGUAGUCCACGCCAUAAACGAUGAGGACUAGACGUUGGAGGGGUAAGCCUUUCAGUGUCGUAGCUAACGCGCUAAGUCCUCCGCCUGGGGAGUACGGCCGCGUGGAUG